GAUUGAUUCGAUUGACUGAAUAUACGUAUCCUAAUUUAUCGAUUUUUAAGAAAUAAUAUGAUAAUUACACUAGUAAAAAUCUUUCACCAUUAAAAUUGAUUAUGCGCGCCUCUUUAUGCUCAAAUCUCAUACAAAGUAUAUAUAGCUAGCUAUAUGUAACCUAGCUUCAUGUAUAUCAACUGUAGCUAGCUAGGACGUCCUGAAGUUUUUUGGCUGAACACAAGCACAGGAUUUGUAUCGAUCUCGAUCAGUUAUGAGUUGGAACGGGCUUUUGAUUUGUUGUAUGGAUUUUGAUGGUGCGAAAGGCGACGGUGAAGAUUUUAUGAAGCCAUUGGUAUUAUCCUAACUUUUGAACACGUGCUAUUUGGGAUUUCUGUCAAGGGUUAUCAUACAACAGUGAAAUAGACCAACUUAAAUUGUUUGGUAAGCUAGACUAUUGUUCAGUCAUGAUUUUACAAUUAAGUUAAUUAAGCUAUCAAGUUUUUUCUUUUUUUUUUAAUAAUCUCUCCAACAAAACAAUAAAAGAUGGUGUACGUCUUGGAUUAACUGCCAUGUAGGACGAAUCGAGGGAUGAGUUGAACCCAAUGGUGUUCCCUCGUCCCUGGAAGGCGGACGAAUAGGGAAGAGUGGAUAACGAGUAGCAUUGGGCAGUUUCUAAUGGCUCACAAGUCACAUUUAGCAGUCCGACUUUCUUGGUCUAAUUUAAGAAUAUUACUGAACACUUACAUGUGGUAUUGCACAAUGUGCAUACCUACUGUAACCCAUGGUUUUCGAGUUGUGCAAAUGUGCAUGACCCUCCUGUUUCAGGUUUUUGAUUGCUUUUCUAAUGUUUUCGUCAUGUUCCUUUUGAAGUCGUUUGCAGGACGUUGCGACCCGUUUGCUAACCCAUUCGUCCUGCCAACUCAAUCUGCUAUUUUUAAAUACCAUGAACACAUCAUGAAUAUGUGAUUUUGUGUCUUCAAUUUUGAGGUAUAAGCUAACACAACCUCAUGUGUUAAAGGGUAUUUGGAACUGGCUCAUGUAGGUGAUGGCUUUGUGGUAUUCAUUCCAUCGAACAAAGUAGUAAAUUUCAUCUCUUAUUUCGGACGGAAGAAUGACAUUUAAAGAUAGAUCAACCUUGCUAUAGAAGGAUACCUUGUCAAUAGCACCUAAAAAUCAGACAACUAUACAUUCCAUACAGAAAGAUGCCUUAUGUUUUUGAAAUAGUUACAUUUGGUUUUGUAGUAGUUAGCGAUAAUCGUUUUGUAGUAGUUAACAGUAACUUUUGAACCCAUUGUGAGAAUGUUACAAACUAUUUUGUGAAAACAAGUAAAAGUAGGACUACAUAAGUUGGAUUUGAUCGGUGAAUAUGACGAUGCUCAUGCUUAUCCGUAUGAAAUUGGUUAGACUAUUCCCAAUUUCCCAUCUAUGAAUGAAUGUUAUGUGUACCUUCAUUUCAAUAGUUACAUUAUAGGUAUAUAGUUUUCAGUUUUGGCUA